rnacentral:rRNA from 1 species
UACGUAGGGUGCGAGCGUUAAUCGGAAUUACUGGGCGUAAAGCGUGCGCCGGCGGUUUUUUAAGCCAGAUGUGAAAUCCCCGGGCUUACCCUGGGAACUGCAUUUGGAUCUGGAAGACUAGAGUACGGCAGAGGGGGGUAGAAGUCCACGUGUAGCAGUGAAAUGCGUAGAUAGGUGGAGGAAUACCGAUGGCGAAGGCAGCCCCCUGGGUCGAUACUGACGCUCAUGCACGAAAGCGUGGGGAGCAAACAGG